GUGCCAGCCGCCGCGGUAAUACGUAUGGUGCAAGCGUUAUCCCGGAUUUACUGGGUGUAAAGGGUGCGUAGGUGGCAAGGCUAGUCAGAUGUGAAAACUCAGGGCUCAACCCUGCAGACUGCAUUUGAAACUGUCUAGCUAGAGUACAGGAGAGGAAAGUGGAAUUCCUAGUGUAGCGGUGAAAUGCGUAGAUAUUAGGAGGAACACCAGUGGCGAAGGCGGCUUUCUGGACUGUAACUGACACUGAGGCACCAAAGCGUGGGGAGCAAACAGGAUUAGAUACCCUGCUAGUCCACGCCCGUAAACGAUGAAUACUAGGUGUUGGGGGAUUAAACCCUCGGUGCCGUCGCAAACGCAUUAAGUAUUCCACCUGGGGAGUACGUUCGCCAAGAAUAAACUCAAAGGAAUUGACGGGACCCGCACAAGCGGUGAGCAUGUGGUUAAUUCGAAGCACGCGAAGAACCUUACCAGGUCUUGACAUCGACAUGACAGUCUUUAAUCAAGAUUUUCCUUCGGACAUGUUAGACAGGUGGUGCAUGGUUGUCGUCAGCUCGUGUCGUGAGAUGUUGGGUUAAGUCCCGCAACGAGGCGCAACCCCUAUUUUCAGUAGCCAGCAGUUCGGCUGGGCACUCUGGAGAGACUGCCCGGGAUAAGCCGGGAGGAAGGCGGGGAUGACGUCAAAUCAUCAUGCCCCUUACGAUCUGGGCUACACACGUGCUACAAUGGCGGUGACAAAGGGAAGCAGAGCAGUGAUGCCGAGCAAACCUCAAAAAAGCCGUCUCAGUUCGGAUUGUAGUCUGCAACUCGACUACAUGAAGCUGGAAUCGCUAGUAAUCGCGAAUCAGAACGUCGCGGUGAAUACGUUCCCGGUCUUGUACACACCGCCCGU
rnacentral:rRNA from 1 species